rnacentral:rRNA from 1 species
AGCCCAGAGCCUGAAUCAGUGUGUGUGUUAGUGGAAGCGUCUGGAAAGGCGCGCGAUACAGGGUGACAGCCCCGUACACAAAAAUGCACAUACUGUGAGCUCGAUGAGUAGGGCGGGACACGUGGUAUCCUGUCUGAAUAUGGGGGGACCAUCCUCCAAGGCUAAAUACUCCUGACUGACCGAUAGUGAACCAGUACCGUGAGGGAA